UCACGAAAAGUGGGUUGUACUAGAAGUCUGCAGGCUGACCCGCAAGGGAGGCAGCGGCCCAAGGUAUGACUCAUGAUUGGGGUG
rnacentral:rRNA from 1 species